rnacentral:rRNA from 1 species
UCAGUACGGCGAGUGAAGUGGGAACAGCUCAAGCCGUCAAUCUCCGGCCCGGCGGUCGGCGAAUUGUAGUCUAGAGAAGUGCUAUCCGCGCGGCGGUCGGCGUUCCAAGUCGCUUGGAACAGCGCAUCGCAGAGGGUGAGAAUCCCGUCUCCGAGCGCCGUCCGCGCGCCACGAGGCGCUUUCGAAGAGUCGGGUUGUUUGGGAAUGCAGCCCAAAGCGGGUGGUAAACUCCACCUAAGGCUAAAUACGGGCACGAGACCGAUAGCGAAAAAGUACCGUGAGGGAAAGAUGAAAAGCACUUUGAAAAGAGAGUUAAAGAGUACGUGAAACCGUUGGAGGGGAAGCGAAUGCGGCCAGCAACGCCGCCUUGGCAGAUUCAGCCGGUGCGCCGGCGAGGCGUGUGACGUCGGAUUCGAAGGAACCGCGUCGGGCGUCGAUCGUCGGCGAGCCGCGUCGUACUUCUGCCGGCAGCGGGCCAACGCCGGCGGGAGGUCGCGUCGACUACGACGUCGUGAGGUGGACGGGCUCCUUGCGGGGCCCGUCGUUAUAGGCGGCGUCAGGGCGCGCCGUCCCGCCGAGGAGACGGAAUGACGGUGGCGGCACGCGCCGUAUGGCUAGACGGGGCGUCGGCGUGCGGCGGACGUCGUGCGGACUGCUCGCAGUGCGCGCGUCGCUUCGCUUCGCGGGGGCGCCYGCGGUCGUAGGCGUGCCGAGGGCGUUGGCGGUCGAAUGGCCUCAUCCGACCCGUCUUGAAACACGGACCAAGGAGUCUAGCAGGCGUGCGAGUCCCGGGGUGUGGAAACCCGUCGGCGCAAUGAAAGUGAACGUUGGGGUGAGAGCCGUGGUCGGGCGCGGCGGCGGCGCAUCAUCGACCGACCUCGUCUGCUCCCAGAGAGGUUUGAGUAGGAGCACGCGUGCUGGGACCCGAAAGAUGGUGAACUAUGCCCGAAUAGGGUGAAGCCAGAGGAAACUCUGG